CCCGCACAAGCGGUGGAGCAUGUGGUUUAAUUCGACGCAACGCGAAGAACCUUACCUGGCCUUGACAUCCUGCGAACUUUCUAGAGAUAGAUUGGUGCCUUCGGGAACGCAGUGACAGGUGCUGCAUGGCCGUCGUCAGCUCGUGUCGUGAGAUGUUGGGUUAAGUCCCGUAACGAGCGCAACCCCUAUCCCUAGUUGCUAGCAGUUCGGCUGAGAACUCUAGGGAGACUGCCGGUGACAAACCGGAGGAAGGUGGGGAUGACGUCAGGUCAUCAUGGCCCUUACGGCCAGGGCUACACACGUGCUACAAUGGCGCGCACAGAGGGCUGCAAACCCGCGAGGGUAAGCCAAUCUCUUAAAACGCGUCGUAGUCCGGAUCGCAGUCUGCAACUCGACUGCGUGAAGUCGGAAUCGCUAGUAAUCGCGAAUCAGAAUGUCGCGGUGAAUACGUUCCCGGGCCUUGUACACGCCGCCCGUCACACCAUGGGAGUGGAUUGCACCAGAAGUGGUUAGUCUAACCUUCGGGAGGACGAUCACCACGGUGUGGUUCAUGACUGGGGUGAAGUCG
rnacentral:rRNA from 1 species